AUGGCUCAGAACGAACGCUGGCGGCAGGCCUAACACAUGCAAGUCGAACGCCCUAGCAAUAGGGAGUGGCAGACGGGUGAGUAACGCGUGGGAAUCUACCUUGUGGUACGGAACAACCAAGGGAAACUUUGGCUAAUACCGUAUGAGCCCUUCGGGGGAAAGAUUUAUCGCCAUAAGAUGAGCCCGCGUAGGAUUAGCUAGUUGGUGAGGUAAUGGCUCACCAAGGCGACGAUCCUUAGCUGGUCUGAGAGGAUGACCAGCCACACUGGGACUGAGACACGGCCCAGACUCCUACGGGAGGCAGCAGUGGGGAAUAUUGGACAAUGGGCGCAAGCCUGAUCCAGCCAUGCCGCGUGUGUGAUGAAGGCCUUAGGGUUGUAAAGCACUUUCGCCGAUGAAGAUAAUGACUGUAGUCGGAGAAGAAGCCCCGGCUAACUUCGUGCCAGCAGCCGCGGUAAUACGAAGGGGGCUAGCGUUGUUCGGAAUUACUGGGCGUAAAGCGUACGUAGGCGGAUCGUUAAGUUAGGGGUGAAAUCCCGAGGCUCAACCUCGGAACUGCCUCUGAUACUGGCGAUCUUGAGUCCGGGAGAGGUGAGUGGAACUCCUAGUGUAGAGGUGAAAUUCGUAGAUAUUAGGAAGAACACCAGUGGCGAAGGCGGC
rnacentral:rRNA from 1 species